rnacentral:lncRNA from 1 species
AAGUAAGGAAAAAAAAAGGGUAAUUCAAGAUUCAUUAAAGACAUUCAAGACUGAAAACUUGUCAUCUAAUUUUCUUCUCUACUCGUAAUAUCAGUGUGAAAUGUGUUUUCAAAACCUGGUUUUAAAGUGGAAGAACGUUAUUUAAUUGCAAGUCCACUUGGCAAAAAUCUGCUGGCUUAUUUAUAACGACUUGGAUUUGUGUUUGUUGGUGACUGAUUUGGACUGUUGAUCUUGAUCCAAUGACCGUGGCUUAAAUGUAUUUUCUUGACCCUUGAGUUGGCCGGCUGAUGAUGAUUCAGUCAUUCAUUCUCUCAAUCUCUGUUCUCUCUUACUAAACUCAUGAAAAAUCUUCAAGGCCGAUUGUUUCUUUAUUGAAAAUCAGAUCCGAUUUCUGAUUUCUGGUCCUCAGUGUAGUAUAUAGUCAGAUUUGUGUUGUGGCUUUUGUAUAUUGUUCAUUUACAGAAAAUUUUGGGGCUUUUGUGGUCGGUUGAACUGUAUAGAACUUUGGCCACUUAGUUUUGGUCUUGAGUCGAUUAGGGGUUAUUUUUGUGAGAUCUUUAUAGAUCGAUGAUCUAGUCUUGGGUCUGAAUGUUAUACUCUGACUUCGAACUCUCUUGGGCAGUUCUUUGCAUAUAGUGACGUGCUCUUUACCUCUAAGUCUCCUAAAGCAAGCUUUGUCGAAUUGGGUGACCAUUUUGCGUGUUGAUCUUUAUUAUUUUUCGAGGGUUUGUGUUUUGAUUUUCUAAAUACUGCCUAUUGUUGGUGACUAAAUCCUAACAAAACUGGUAUCAAAGCCUCGUAAGGCAUGGGUAAGGCAUAUUUGAAAUCCGAUUUGAUUUUACUUUUCGUAUUGAUGCGCUUUUUGAUCGAUGUAAAUCUUUAAUUUCUAAUUAAACUGAGUUCUUGGAGGCUGGGCUGAGAUCUGGCUUUGAAAGUAUUACUGGAGUUGGAAUCUGAUUGCUAAAUGAACUUGAGAUUUAAAUACUGUUAUACACAGUAUUUUGCUGAGAUCGUUCCAAUUACAAAUUAAUCAGUAAUUGAUUGGCACGAUUUAAUUGAUAUAUGUGAAUUUGUUGAUAUUACUGUGAUCUGAUUUAUUCAAGAACCUCAAUAAAUUGUUUGAUUGUAUUUUUUAGUUUUCUUUUAUCUGACUGUGUGAAAUGUGAAAUUAAUUCAUCUUUUUGCUAUUGCAGUCUGUGCAUAUUUUUAUUAUUGUUUUUCAUUCCAAGAACAGCUUAUUUGUUAUAAAUUGCAAAACUUUUUUAAGAACUAAAGUGAUUUUCAAAUUUAAAAUCACUUAUGUCAACAAGUAAUAUCUGCCUUUUUGCAUAAUCUGCAAUGGGUUUGAAGUUUAAAUUAUCACAAUUCAAUGGAAAGGAGGAUUGCUCCAUCUGAAAGCAGAAAAUGAGGGCCAUCUUGGCUGAUCAAAGGGUUGUUAGAGCUCUGGAUGAUCCUGAAAUGUUUUCUAUUGAAUUGAAAACUAAACCUGAUGAAAUUCUAAAUAUGAAUAAAAAGUCUCAUAGAGCAUUAUGGACUGCAUUAGAUGCUUUGUUUUUGACUAAGACAUUGCCUAAUAAGAUCUACCUUUUAGAGAAACGCUUUAGUUUCAAAAUGGAUACUAGGAAAGAUUUGGAAACUAAUUUGAGUGAUUUUAGAAUCAUAGUUGAGAGCUUUCCUCAAAAUGGCAAAAAAAUUGAGGAUGAGAUCCUUGCAGUGAUCUCUCUUAAUUCAUUACCUGAUUCAAAAAGGAUAUCAAGAAUGUAAUAGAAUGCUCAAGAGAUGCCUAACAUAGAACAAUUGUCACUAAUGCUCUACAAUUUUGGGAAUUGGAGGUCAAAAGAUAAUCUAGAACAAGUUCAAGAGAAAAGAGUAUGUUCGUACGAGGAAGAACUAAGAAGAAGGAAAAUAAUUUCAACAACAAAAUAUCUAAUUUGAAAUUUAAAACUAGAUUUAAAUCAAAAGAUAAAAGCAAUAAGAAGUGUUAUCAUUGUGGGAAGUUGGGUCACUUUAGAAGAGGUUGCUUUUAUUGAAAGAAAAAAACCAAAUGAACAAAAUAACGGAGAAUGGAAUAAUUCUUUCGUUGGUUUUGAGUUAGAUGGUCUAUUUGUAACAAUUGUGUCUAAUGAAGAAAUUGAUAAGGUCUGGAUUUUGAAUUUAGGGUGUAAAUUCCAUGUGUCCUAAUAAAUCUUGACUUAAUAAUUAGGGAAAAGUGCACUCGAGGUACCAAACCUUUCGUUUAUUAGCAGACUUUGCCCAAAUCUUAAGUUUGUGCCAUCCACAGUACUAAACCUUUCAAAAAUAUGCAUUAGGGGUUCAAAUGGAUGGAAACUGUUCGUUUGACCAUUAGUUGACCAAUAAAAUUAAAUUUUGACUAAUGUUUGACCAACUUAAAAGGGUAGAAAGGUAAAUUUGUUAUUUAAUUCUAAAAUAAAACAAAUAAACUAAUAUACCAAAUAAAAAUAAAAGAAACUACUAUUCAUCUUCGUCUCCACCCCACCCCACCCUACCACUGCUGCAAUUUUCCCACCGCGCUUUCUUGCCGACAACUGACCAUACCCACAACAGCCGUGGCUCUCACCACAACUCAAAUGGAUAUGAUAAUAAAUGAAAGUUCUCUCGCCAGAUCUUGAAAAUUAUUGUUGUUACACAGAGGGAUAAGAUGAGUGAACAUAUGCUAUCGUCGAGCUACAAGCAAACGAUGUCCGAGGAGCUCUCGAACCGGAGGACGGAUACUUCCAAUGGUGUCUUUGAUUAUGACGUCCACUUCUUGCCUCUUCCUCAAUGUCGGGAGUAAAUAUUCCCUCUCUCUAUGGCUAUUUUGGGCUACGCAAUUGAUUACUGGUUUAAUUGUUUUCUAGAUUGAAUUGGACUUACUGGGAAGGUGGGUAUUUUGAUAAUUUGAGCUCCAAUUCAUAUGUGAAUAGUUUUGAUUGUAUGCCUCUUUUUCGCUAUAAGUACCCCAGUUCGGAGGUGGUGCUGGUUUCAAUUUCGAGGCGAAGUAGUGCUCGCAUCGAUUUCGAUUUCUUAUUUUGGUUCCAUUUAGCAGUGAAUAAGAGGGUAGCCGAGGUGGUGGAGGUUGUGGAAUUGAUGGAGGCCAACGGAUUUGGGCGGAGAUGGGCAGCCGGGGUUGGGUAGUCGACGGCUUCAGAUUAUGGUCGGGGUGAGGUGGGGGUGCAGUCAGGGAAGAAGAUGAAGAUUGACUAUUUUCUUUUUUCAGUUUAAUUUAAUUGUUAAUAAUAUAGAAAAAUAAUGUUAAUUCUAAAUAUACCAUUUUACCUUUUCUAAUUCAGUCAAAAUUUAUUUUUCUUGGUCAACUAACGGUUAAACGGACGGUUUCCAUCUAUUUGGAUCUCCGGUGCAUAUUUUUGAAAGGUUUGGGAUUGUGGGUGGCACAAACUAAAGGUUUGGACAAAGUCUGCUAAUAAACUAAAGGUUUGAUACUUCGACUGUAAUUUUCCCUAAUAAUUACAAAGAAGUUGAACCCAGAAAAGUGUACAUGACUAAUAAUAACUCUUAAGUUUUCUUGGUAUUAGUGAAAUUGCCAUCAAGAUGUAUGAUGGUAUUGUAAGGCAAUUGAAAACUGUGAGAUAUGUCCAAACUUGAAAAGAAAUCUCAUCUCAUUGGAAAUUUCAAGUUUAAAAAUAACAUUUUGAAAGUUAUAAAGAGAUUUUUGGUAAUCUUUAAGGGAACAAAAAGAAAUGAUUGUACUAUCUUAUUGGAGAGACUUCUACUCCUCAAAAUGCUAAAUUUUUUACCAUUACUUAAAACAAAUCAAAACUGUGACAUAAUAGAAUGGGACAUAUAGGAAAUAAGAGUAUGAGGUAUUUAAGUAAUUGAAAAUUACUUGAGAAAGAUAUGAUUGAGCCUCGUGAAUUUUGUGAAAUAUGUGUGUUGGGUAAGUCACAUGGGGUGAAGUUUGGGACUGGGUUACAUACCACCUCUAGACCCCUAUAUCCACUCGAAUUUAUGGGGCUAGAGAGUCAUCAUACCUUUGGAGGAAAUAAGUACUUCCUUUCUAUAGAUGAUGACUACUCAAGAAAGGUUUGGAUUUAUUGUAACACCUCAAAUCUAGAUACCUAAAUGUAGAAGUAUUAUCAUUUAAUUUCCUCUUAAAACCAUAAAUGUAGAAAAUCGAUUUAAAAUUUUUCUUUAACAUAAAAAUAUUAACGACUUUUAUUAAAGAAAAGAUUUUUAGAAAAUUUUUAUAUUUAAUAAAAAUAUAAGAUGAUCGAAUCAAAUGUUAAACUUAUUUCAACUUGAGUCUACAUUAAAUGUAUCAGUAUCGAGUUCGUCUCAUCACAAGUAGUCAUCUCGAAUCAUCUUGCUUUCAUCAUCUAAAAAUUGGAGAGGAUAAUGUGGAAUGAGCGAACGCCCAGUAAGCAAACCUCAUAGGAUGUAUGCUUAUGAUAUGCACAUGAAUUACUUCAAGAUAAAAUUAUUUCUCAAUAUGUAUUCCCUUUUCUGUCAUUUCUUUCAAAAAUUAACUUUGACUUUGUUAGCUCACUUGGUGUAUCUCCUAGCCAAUCAGAAUGCAGUUAGCAAUUAUUAUUUGGAACCUGGUUGAAUCCUAUUGGUAGUAUCGCAAAUCGGCUAAUAUUAACAUUAUCAUUGAACAUUAAACAUUGAACAUUGGUAGGUUCAUCAAUCCCCCACGCCACGUCCCACUGACAACUUUCAUGGCAUAGACAUACACCUCGUAACGAAACGUUUGGGAUACAUAAUUUUUUAAUACUUUUAUUGACUCAUUAACAUUUGAAAACUUUUAUUUUUCUUGAAAUUUCAUGUAUGCUCAUGGAUGCAUUGAUAUGCAUGAAUAUGUCAUGAGAAUUAUUUGUGACAUAAAACAUAAAUAUUAAAUAUCAAGUUCACAUAAUAACAAAUUUUGAUAACACAUUUCUACAUUUAACGAUGUAACGUAUGCUUGAAGAUAAAGAAGAGAUUUACUUACCUAAAAUCCUUAUAAAUUUACUUAUAGGAUAGCAAGUGGAGAUGCCCUUAGCCAUCUAGGAUUCAACAUGCCAAUGCCCUAGUUCAUCACCAUUGAUUAAGAAAGAUUUAUCCAAACUCAUCAUUUGUUGUUAUUAUUAUGCUAGAUUGAUUAAAUGUUAUCUCAUCUUGAAUAUCACUUUUAGAAUUUAACAACUAGUAGAAAAAGGCGGCCAAUUAGUUGUGACAAUACAUUUUACACUCACUCAAAUGAAGAGAAAAUUUUAAAUUUCAUAAGCUUUGAAAUUAAUUGGUCUAUUCAUAGUUCCACUAGUGUAGAACACUCUAAUGUACGUGCAGCUCUAUGCAAAACAUAGAAUUCAAAAAGAAAAGAGUAUAGAGGAAACUGUAAUAAUGAGUACAAGAAGAACUUCUAAUCGUGAGCACUACUUUUCAAAAUUUAGUAUGGCCAAAAUUAUUAAUGAUUGCCAAAUUUGCAUUGGUUGAUUUAUUAAAAGUUUACCAAAAUUAGUUAAUUAGGAGUUUGGGAUAAAUGUCAAAAUUUUACACCUAAUUACUAAAGAUAAGCAUUUUUUUACCACUUGGCUGAGAGUAGAAUGUUAUCUUUGUAGUGAGGUAACAAGCAAGCAUGAGGUGGCUAAGGCAAGCAUGAAGUGUUUAACUUAAGCAUGAGGUGUUUAGUUAAAUUUAUGAAGUGCAUCCAUGCAACCCACAUGGAGACAAUUGUUGAAGAGUCACCUUUACUUAAUCAUUAUGUCCUCUUACCUUUAAAUAAGAAAUGUUGCUACCAUUUAUUUCCCUUGCAAAAAAUAAAAUAAAAUAUCACUUGUAAGAAAGGGCAGUGAAUACGUGAGGAAAAGGGAACAAAGCCUAGCACUCUCAAUUCAUCUUUCAACCGAAUUUUUUCAAUUGAAAUUUUUUCAAGUUUUACAGUAAGAUAUUUUCUAUGCUUAAGUGGUAGGAUUUCAUGGUAAUAUUUAUGCUUAAGCUAUGCAUGAAAACCAUAAUAUGAAAGACGUGGACAAGUCGACAAAGUUAUAUAUCUAUUUACGCCUUAGGACAAGUUCAAAAGGCAUCGGCAUGCUGAAAUGUGCAAGUAUGUGUUUGAAUGUAUUCUUUUGUGUAGUACUAACAUGUUAAAUCCAAACAUGGUAUCUUACUCAGUAUUCUUUAUACUCAUAGUAUUUCAUACUAAAUUUUUAGAUUCAUAAUUGUGGAGUUGGUGGAAGCCAAUAGGCAUAAUCGAUGAUGAGUUAAGGACAAAGUUAUUUUACAUCGAAGUUUCUUCUUUGUAUGUUUUGUUUGACUGCUUUCCAUAUGUUUUUCUUAUGUUAUUAUAUAAAACAUGUAUAAGGCAUGAUGUAAUAUGGUACCGGAAGUAAAUUAUGUAAUCAUAUCUCCCAUGUUAUGUUAAGAGACUUUUAUUUUUAGACUUUCUCUUGCAAGUGAUAAAAAGGCAGAAACGGAACAGUUUUUGGGUCAACUUCAAAACAUUAUUUCUGACUCCAUAAACGUCUAUUUGAGACUCUAAAAAUAUUUUUGUGUUCCUCUUUGAGUUGUCUUAAUAUGGGCUCAAGAACCACUCAAUUUGGAUAUCCAUGGCCUGAGAUAUGAAUUUUUACGCGUUGAAGGGUCAAUCUGAACUUUCUGUGCAAUACCUCACCGUUUUCAGUAAAAUUCCCAUAUCAUAUGAUCUUAGAAUUUUUUCAUAUUUUAACUUAGAAAACUACUUGAAAAUAUCUUUCUAAUGUCGCAAAUUUCAUAGAAAACGGAGUUGGGAUGAAUUUUAUAAAAAUAGUUGAACUUGCUGCCCUAACUAACCGUAGCAGUGCCGUGUCCGUAAAUGUAAAGUAUAAUUUCAUGUUGACAUGCACUUCUGCUGGCCAUUAAAUUUUAUGAGAGAUAUUUUACGAAAUUGAAAAUAAGUUUCUAACAUGUAAUACUUUUAUUUAAGAGUGUUUACAUGUAGCGAAGGCAGCAGUUUUUAUGUUUAGUACGUGACACUCGAAACUUAAGUUUGAGGCGUCACAGCGUGGUAUCAGAGCAGUUAUGCUUUUCUGUAGACUUUUUUUUAAAAGAAAAGCUGUUGUCCUUCAUCAUCGAGCAAGCUAGCAACUGACUUCCAACCGACGAGCAAGGUAAAAACUUCUUUUUAAAGUUUAUGAGUUUUCUUAUGCAAUGAACUGCUAUAUCUAUGGUUGGAUAUAUGAAUAUUUUGAAUCAAGUCAUGGUUGAGAUUAUGAAAUCAUUAACACUUAUAUCUAAUUAUUUAUUAGAGCCUUAUAGAGUAACAUAAUCAAUUUUUGUCCUAGUUAUGGCGCGAAUGGUAAGAACCCCCACAAGGACAGAAGCUUGUGGUUUUGCGAAGAAGCGGGACAUAUUACUGGCAUUUUACUAUAAUUAUUGUAUGCAUCCGCUUCAUAGCCUUGAACAACGUCUUGAUCUACUAGAUUGCAUUGUUGAGAUGUUAUGGGAGAUACACCAUAGCAUAAGGGAUACAGUGAAGAUACGGAGGUUAUAUAAAACUGUUCCAGAACCUCGGGCUUAAGUCAUAAAUGAGAUCGUACUGUAGUCUGAUGAUGACCUUUCAUAUGAGGAUCUUACAUAAUUACUUCGAGAAAGUUAUGAAACUAGCCACGAUUUACGGCGAAACUUUAAGAAGAUUAUAACCUUAUCCAUGAAUACUAGUUUACGAGCUACCAAUUCUAGGCUAGAUAAUGGACCAUUGGCUAAGUGCUUUUCGAGAGUUCUAGAUGAAAGUUUUUCCGUACCAUUACCAGAUAGUUCGGAACAAAGCAUGUUAGAGGAAGAACCAGAGGAAGACCCAGAUGAAGGCCCCGAGGAGGAUCUAGAAGAAAUAGAAGAUUAGACACCAUCUUAUCUAGUUAUCUUUGUUUUUUGAAUAGAAUAGGACGUAAUACGUACAUCUACUUUUGAAUGUAUGUACCGUACCUUAACAUGACUUUUGUUUGUGAAAGAUAAUAAUGUAUAUAUAUGAAGGAAAUUUGUCUUGGCCUUUGGAUGUUUCUAAAGUUAGUAUUACGUCCUAAAGUAAUUCUAACUGGAUGAAUAUUUUUCAUUCAAAGGAAAUGCCUCCAAAGAGCAACUAUGGCAGUGCACCGAAUUCCAUUAUGAACUUAGGCAGCGGCAAUGCUAAUGCUAGUUCUAGUGGUGGCGAAGUUAAUGUAACAAACUUUGCACGAGAACUGCUUGUCGUAAUGCGGGAAUUGGGACAACAACAACAGGCACCACAUUUGGCUGGACAACAAACAAUAAAUCAACAAGUACCAACUAAUCAUCAGGAGCCCAACCCACCAGCUAUUCAACUUCAAAUAGUACCUAACUCGAGAGAUUGAACUGCAAUGAUAGAACAAUUUCGUAAAAUGAACCCUCCAUCAUUUGAGGGAAGUAUGGAUCCCUUGGCAGUUGAAGACUGGUUACGAGAACUAGAACGUAUCUUUAAAUUUAUAAGAUGCAAAAAUGCUGAAAAGGUAACAUUUUUAGUGUUUAUGUUAGAGAAGGGGGCUAGCCAUUGGUGGGACAUGACUACCAGGUUCCAACAGGGAACCAUGACCCUCGUGGAAUAUGAACGCAAAUUUGAGGAAUUAUCAAGAUUUGCUCCACAUCUAAUGGAUACGGAGGAAAAGCUGGUUAGAAGGUUCGAACGUGGGCUUCAACCUUAUAUUCGUGAUAUAGUGUCAGUUCUCGAGCUAUACACUUAUCGAGAAGUCUUGAAGCGAGCACACACUAUUUCUUAUCAAAGAACUCGAAACGUUGGAUAUUCUUACCAAGUUCAAAAUUUCUCCGGUAAGAGGUGUUUAACUUAAGCAUGAGGUGUUUAGUUAAAUUUAUGAAGUGCAUCCAUACAACCCACGUGGAGACUAUUGUUGAAGAGUCACAUUUACUUAAUCAUUAAGUUCUCUUACCUUUAAAUAAGAAAUGUUGCUGCCAUUUAUUUCCCUUGAAGAAAAAAAAAAAAAAAGAAUAUUACUUGUAAGAAAUGGCAGUGAAUACGUGAGGAAAAGGGGAAUCUUUUAACCGAAAUUUCUUCAAGUUUUACAGUAAGAUAUUUUCUAUGCUUAAGUGGUAGGAUUUCAUGGUAAUAUUUAUGCUUAAGCUAUGCAUGAAAACCAUAAUAUGAAAGACGUGGACAAGUCCACGAAGUUAGAUAUUUAUUUAUGCCUUAGGACAAGUCCGAAGGGUACCGGCAAGCAGGAAUGUGCAAGUGUGUGUUUGAAUGCAUUCUUUUGUGUAGUAUUAACAUGUUAAAUCCAAGCAUGUUAUCUUACUGAGUAUUUUUUAUACUCAUAGUAUUCCAUACUAAAUUUUCAGAUCCAUAAUUAUGGAGUUGGUGGAAG